rnacentral:rRNA from 1 species
GUGGGGAAUCUUGCGCAAUGGGCGAAAGCCUGACGCAGCCAUGCCGCGUGAAUGAUGAAGGUCUUAGGAUUGUAAAAUUCUUUCACCGGGGACGAUAAUGACGGUACCCGGAGAAGAAGCUCCGGCUAACUUCGUGCCAGCAGCCGCGGUAAUACGAAGGGGGCUAGCGUUGCUCGGAAUUACUGGGCGUAAAGGGCGCGUAGGCGGACAGCUUAGUCAGAGGUGAAAGCCCAGGGCUCAACCUUGGAAUUGCCUUUGAUACUGACUGUAUUGAGUUUGGGAGAGGUGAGUGGAACUCCGAGUGUAGAGGUGAAAUUCGUAGAUAUUCGGAAGAACACCAGUGGCGAAGGCGACUCACUGGCCCAAUACUGACGCUGAGGCGCGAAAGCGUGGGGAGCAAACAGGAUUAGAAACCCUGGUAGUCC